rnacentral:rRNA from 2 species
ACGACUCUCGGCAACGGAUAUCUCGGCUCUCGCAUCGAUGAAGAACGUAGCGAAAUGCGAUACUUGGUGUGAAUUGCAGAAUCCCGUGAACCAUCGAGUCUUUGAACGCAAGUUGCGCCCCAAGCCUUCGGGCCGAGGGCACGUCUGCCUGGGUGUCA